GGUGAUACGUGGUGAAUGGUGAUAUGACGAGUCGCGAGACAAGAAUCUCAUCUCAUUUAUAUAUGUAUAGAGACCUUCUAAUCAGAGACUGCAGGUGAUAUUGGCGAGACAAGAGAUAUUGGCAAAAUUUUGACUCGAAGACCUUCGAGUGGUGCAUGCGGGGUCGUUUGAUCUGGAUGCGGGGCGUCGGGACGCAAGGUUACAGCGGUCGUCGGGUCAGCAACACCACGGCCGUCCCUCCCGCUUUUCCCUUUCCACCCUGACCGCCAUCCCUCGUCCUCCCACCGCCGUCGCCACGCUCGAUAAUGUUUCUAAUGAGUUCUAAUGAUUGAUAAUAAUUCCUGAUGACAACCUCUUAUAACUACGUCUGCCAAAAUAUCGAGUAGCCUGAUGCGUCUUACAAUUAAUGUGAGUCACUAUUUCAUUUUUUCUAAUAUUAUUGCGUUCGCGUCAUGCAGUCAGCUGCAUGGAGUAAAGCCAGCUGACUUGAAAAAUCAAUACUAGGAUUUUUAUAUUUAAAGAUUGAUUUCCAUGACGACAAGCCGUACAGUUUAAAAGGCUGUGAUCGGAGUCGAUGAAUCGCGAUGAUAUAUGA